rnacentral:rRNA from 1 species
GAUGAACGCUGGCGGCGUGCCUAAUACAUGCAAGUCGAGCGAACGGACGAGAAUCUUGCUUCUCUGAUGUUAGUGGCGGACGGGUGAGUAACACGUGGAUAACCUACCUAUAAGACUGGGAUAACUUCGGGAAACCGUAGCUAAUACCGGAUAAUAUUUUGAACCGCAUGGUUCAAAAGUGAAAGACGGUCUUGCUGUCACUUAUAGAUGGUUCCGCGCUGCAUUAGCUAGUUGGUAAGGUAACGGCUUACCAAGGCAACGAUGCAUAGCCGACCUGAGAGGAUGAUCGGCCACACUGGAACUGAGACACGGUCCAGACUCCUACGGGAGGCAGCAGUAGGGAAUCUUCCGCAAUGGGCGAAAGCCUGACGCAGCAACGCCGCGUGAGUGAUGAAGGUCUUCGGAUCGUAAAGCUCUGUUAUUAGGGAAGAACAUAUGUGUAAGUAAAUGUGCACGUCUUGACGGUACCUACUCAGAAAGCCCCGGCUAACUACGUG